GACGGAGGAUGCAAGUGUUACCCGGAAUCACUGGGCGUAAAGCGUCUGUAGGUGGUUCGAAAAGUCCACUGUUAAAAAUUGAGGCUUAACUUCAAAGAUGCCGUGGAAACUUUCAAACUAGAGUAUGGUAGGGGUAGAGGGAAUUUCCAGUGGAGCGGUGAAAUGCGUAGAUAUUGGAAAGACCACCGAUGGCGAAGGCACUCUACUGGGCCACUACUGACACUGAGAGACGAAAGCUAGGGGAGCAAAUGGG
rnacentral:rRNA from 1 species